rnacentral:rRNA from 1 species
UACAGAGGUCUCAAGCGUUGUUCGGAUUCAUUGGGCGUAAAGGGUGCGUAGGUGGUGCCGUAAGUCAGGUGUGAAAUCUCGGGGCUCAACCCCGAAACUGCACUUGAUACUGCGGUGCUCGAGGACUGGAGAGGAGAUCGGAAUUCAUGGUGUAGCAGUGAAAUGCGUAGAUAUCAUGAGGAAGACCAGUGGCGAAGGCGGAUCUCUGGACAGUUCCCGACACUGAGGCACGAAGGCCAGGGGAGCAAACGGG